CACAACUGUCGUCUACUUUUCUGACAGGAAAUGAAACGUCAAUCGGUUCAGUGCCCUAGACUUCGACUCCCCUGGUGGCCGACGUCUGAUGGGCAUUCGAAAAGUUAGUUUAGAUGUUAUCUUGGACGUCGAAUUAGUUAGAUAACUGACAUCUAGGUGACUAUAGACGUCGGUCUCUGGAGCAACCGACGCCCCAUUUCAUUUUAAAUAAACCGCAGACUCUUCGCGGCAUUGCACUUUCUGAUAUCAUCGUCUUCCUCCUCUCUUUUUUCUCUCUUGC
rnacentral:lncRNA from 1 species